AAACAAAACGAUUUCAAGCAGCAAAAGCAGCAGCUGUCUGACUCACGUUGUACUCGAUAGAAGAGCUCCUCUCUCUGCUCAGGUCUGGUGCAAAGGCUGUCUGCAGCCAGCUAAGGGAUGCUGCUGAGGAAGGGACCAACCUCCUGGUCCUCUGCUUUACUCUUUCCUCACCUGGCUCUCGUUAUUCAGACUCACCUUCAUUCCCUCACAAGGGUGUGUAUUUGUGAAUUGUUUCAAUGGUUUGUAUUUGGAAACAGUUUUAGGAAUGGGAAAAGCAAGAGAGCUGUGCUGGAAAAACUCAGAAACCCCUGCUCUGUCAGAAUUACUUAUAGAAUAAAAUACUUCUCUGAGGUUUGGAGAUUUUUUUUUCCUUAAGCAAGUUCAAGAGAAAGCAGGCUGUAUCCAAACGAGUUGGAACAAAAUAUAGUUUCAUGGGAAAAUCCUGUGGAUUUGCUCUUCAGAUGUGCUGAUCUAUAGAUUGAUGCACUCUAGGCAUAACAAAACCAUUAUGAAAACACAGCCCUGCAGAACUGGCAAAGCUUCCUCGGUUACUGUCGACUUGGAGCUAACAACUUGGAAAUUAUUGAUGUAAAUGCUUUAUUAUCGAUUGCACAAUUAAGGCAUGAGUGGAGGAAGGAACCUGCAGCCAGCUAUGGUGUUCAGCUUCAUGUUUUAUGACUCAGAGACACGUUAUUUAACUCUGUGUUGCUGCUGGAUGAAACUGAAGAGUGUUUUUAGACAUUCAUUUCACAAAGAUUUUGUCCCUUAGCAGUAAAAUGCUUUGGAUGAAUAUCCAGUCAUAAGCCAGUAGGCACAAUUACAUGGGGACUGCAGUGAUGCUUUCAUCUUCUGAAUGUUUACUCAUAAUGCUGUAGUUAACUAAAUAUCUCUUUCUCCAUGAGCCAAAGAAGUCUGUAUUAUUGAUAAACAUGUUCUUUUGCUGAGCCUUUGAAAGCUCCUCUAUGUAAUCAGUGUUCAGGUAAAAAUGCAAGAGAUAAAGAAGGAUUUUUCCAAACACUUCAGGGUUCAGAGAUGAUAACACCAAGACUGUUCUUCCAUUUGUUAUAAUUUCUGUAUGCUAAACGUUGACCAGUAUACAGCUUAAAUCAUGUGAAAACAAUCAGGCGUUAUUUAAAAGAUGCAGUAAGGUUUCUACAGGGCUGGAGGAGUAUAUGUUUCUCUUUAUACAUCUCCCUUAUUGUGAGUGGAAUUGCAGGUCUGUAGUGGCGACCAUGGUCAGAAUUUGGGCACAAAUCCAAAAGUCCUUUGUGUCAACUGGUACAGACAGUUUUUAGUUAUAUAAACAAACAGACACUUUGGAAUCAAUUGGUAUAGUGAAUGACAUUGCAAAACUAAGGUACUUCUCAAAUAGGUGUAGUGAGGUGAUUCUGAUGACAGCAAAACUACAAUCUUCCUUGAUGCAAAGGAAAAUAAUACAGAGAGCAUUUGGGAAAGAAUGAAAGGUUGCUGUGGGAGUGUAACUGAUGCGCCUCAUUAGAGUUUGAGAUUGUGGUCAUAGGAAGCCGGAUAACAGCGUUUAUGUUUCAUUUCUCUUCUGGUUUGUCCUGAGGGAAAGAGCAGUGGUGAUCAAGAAGGGCCACGGGCAUCCCACAGGGAUUUUGCAGGAGCAUCUGUCUGGAGAAGGAGAGAAGACAAGGAGUGGGACCUCCUCCAUCUUCCUUGGUAGGACUGAAUGGAAUGUGAAACCAUAACCAGAAGACAAAGUGUGGUUGCAGUUAACGCCAAAACAAGUUGUCAGUGCUGGUGCCCUGCCUGCUCCCUUGUUCCCAAGCCACACUCCUGUCCCAUCCUCACACCAGCUCUGGUACUCAACUGAGUAUGCAGUGAAGUAACUGCAAGAGAUGACUUUGCAGUAAGCUCAAUGAUUCCUUGCAGUACUCCUUGUCAGCUGCUUUGAGUGAAAUGCAUUCCCUUGGCUUGCUGCAUAUGCAGGCAAGAGCCCACCCAUCCUGGUGAAAGGGAGCAGACAGGGCAGGAGCACAGGACCAUGGCAGAUGGGGUGCAGUUGGUCUUGAGCUCCUCUGAGCCUCUGGGAUGUCCAGAGGUAAUAAAGAGCUCUAGCUGUGAGAUCACCUGCUUGAGAGGUGCCCCAGAGUAUUCUGGGUGUCCACAUAAUUAUCCUCUUAAUAAAUAGAAGUCUCCUUAUGGUAAAAGUUGUGGGUUGAUUUUAAAGUAUGCGAAGCCAGCUGAAAACAAAUUGUAUGUGACAGCUAUCACGAAAUUGCAGCGUUAUCAUCCUUUACUGAUGGCAGUCUGGAUGUCAGAACGACACUGAGAAAGUUAGACACAUUGCUGUGGCAAAUGUCAAAACCAGACAUGAUGGGAAGUACCCUUUCUGUACAGACACACGUGCAUCCCAGAAGCCAGAACUGUCUUACUGCACUUGGCCUAUAAAAAACUUACUUCUUAUGCUACACAUGCCAUUUCAGUUUUGUUUUCUUCUACAUGAUGAGCAAAUGUGAGCAUUUGGGUUUAGUAAGCCACAGCUAUGAGACACCUCUGCCAGGGACUCUGCACAAAUAAAUAUUCUGCGAUAACCUGGAUGUCAAAUAGACUUUCAGAAGGUGGAAGGGGCUGGUGAAAUAGAACAGCUAAGUUUAAUUUAGAAAACAAAAAUCAAUUAUGAAAGUAACUAUGAGAGUAACUAAAAAAAAACCACCAACAACAAAAAACACCACAACCCAAAACAGAAAUUAACUGCCCUUUUGAGACACAAAGGUUUAGCUGUUUCAGGCUUGAUUUAUCGUUGUAUUGUACCAGUUUUAUGCUAGUGUAAAAACAGGAUGGUAGAAGCAUGUUGAAUAUCACUAAGUAUGCAUCCUUUCAGUUCUGUCAUAUGCUCUCAUGAGCAUAAAAACGGCCAAUAGUUGUGAAAAUCAAAGAAAACCUAUAAAAAUGAAAUGAUAGAGACGUUAGAUGCAGAGAAAGAUAAUAACUUUCAUCAGUGCAGAUUUACUGCAGUGAUCCAUACUAAGGGGAAGGGAAAUUUAUGGAGAAGCUAAUUUUCAGUAAGAUAAAGGCUUCUUGAAACACAGCAUUAAAAAGUCUUUAAUAAGUAAUUGAACCAGAUGGAUAGUUUCUUAAAUACUCUAAAUAGACACCUUCUGUGUUUGACUGCCUCCAUCUUACCAUGUUAUUUAAUGCUUACAGCUCUUCUAACCAUACUAAGUUCUUGCUGAGCUUGUGCAGCACUUUAUUAGCUGUAGAGAUCCUUCAAUUCACAGUGAGUUAGUCACAGAAUUAUAUUCUGUUCAACAGAAACAAGUCUGUGACCCUCUCUAUACUAUCAACCCAUUCUAAAUAGAUAUUAUGCUGCAUGUUGCAAGAUUUAUAUUCUUCACACGAAUAUGCCACUUGUCAUGAGAAUUCAUAUUUCCUCGUUCAGAUUUCAGGAGGUUUUAUCAAGUGCAAAAAGCAUUACAGAUUGCACUUAAAAACACUUUAAAGUUCUGGAAAUGCCAAAGAACUUGAUUUUGUGUGUCUUUAUUUGAAGAAAAAUUUCAAUAUGCAGGUGCUUGAUGGGCUGCAGCAAUGCAGGAAACUGACAUGUAUAAAGGGGUCUGGCAUGACUUGGGUUAGCUUACUGUGAGAAAAGCACACCUUGUGUGGUAGCAGAAUGUUUCUAUAAUGCAAUAUCAUAUGACUGGGAUUAAUUAUAUAGGUGAUUAUCUGUUACAUUUGUCUAUUUAAAAUAUUGUGAAUGUAUUCAUCAUCUGUUUGUUUCAAAGAAAUCUGGCUUACAUGUAGUGAGCAAUAAUCUGUGGCGAUGUUACUUUUACAGUAAAUGUACUUGAAGUUUAUGAGCAACAGCAUGGGGGACAUAAAGAUAUCUGUUUGGCAUUUUCAAGUUUUAUGAGUCUUCCACAGAAGAAACUUCUGAGAAGCCUAUUUAUCCAUGUACACAUCUAUGUACACUCAUUUACUGUAAGUGAAAGCAGAUUUGUGUCAUCUGUUACGUCUCCUUUGAUUAACUAUGGAUUAUUUGCCCUUUGCUGCUAAUGUUCUGUGGAGCCAUUUGUUUUCUUGUUGAGUUACUAAUAUUAAAGGAAAAGAUAUUGCUUUCUU